AUUUAAAUAGUUUAAUAAAAAAAUAUUGAUUUGUGGAAUCAAAGUUAUAUUAUGUGAUAUUUUAAAUA
rnacentral:tRNA from 1 species